rnacentral:rRNA from 1 species
AGUGAACGCUGGCGGUAGGCCUAACACAUGCAAGUCGAACGGUAGCACAGUAAGUGCUUGCUCUUACUGGUUUGGAGUGGCGGAAGGGUGAGGAAUACAUCGGACUCUACUUUUUCGUGGGGGAUAUCGUAGGGAAACUUACGCUCAUAUAGCAUACGACCUACGGGUGAAAUCAGGGAAUAUUUGGACUUUGAGCGCUUGAAUGAGCCGCUGUCGGGUUAGCUCGUUGGCGGGGUAAAGGCCCACAAAGGCGACGAUCCGUAGCUGGUUUGAGAGGAGGAUGAGCCACACUGGAAGUGAGACAGGGUCCAGACUCCUAGGGGAGGAAGCAGAGGGGAAUAUUGGACAAGGGGCGCAAGCCUAAUGCAGCAAGACCGCGUAGGGUAAAAAGUCCUUCGGUUGGUAAAGCCCGUUUGUUGGGAAAGAAAAGCAGCAGGUUAAAACGCCGCUGGUCUGACGGUACCCAAAGAAUAAGCAACGGCUAACUUCGUG